rnacentral:rRNA from 1 species
UACGUAGGGUGCGAGCGUUGUCCGGAAUUACUGGGCGUAAAGAGCGCGCAGGCGGUCGGAUCAGUCGAAUGUGAAAGCCCCCGGCUUAACUGGGGAGGGUCAUUCGAUACUGUUCGACUCGAAGGCAGGAGAGGGAAGUGGAAUUCCCGGUGUAGUGGUGAAAUGCGUAGAUAUCGAGAGGAACACCUGCGGCGAAGGCGGGUUGCUGGGCUGACACUGACGCUGAGGCGCGAAAGCGUGGGGAGCAAACAGG